rnacentral:rRNA from 1 species
GCUUAACACAUGCAAGUCGAACGGUUACUUCGGUAGCCGUGGCGGACGGGUGAGUAACACGUAGGUAACCUGCCCUUUGGUUGUGGAAUAACCCAGGGAAACUUGGGAUAAUACCCCUAUUGAUCUUCGGAUUGAAAGCUUUAUGCGCCAGAGGAGGGGCCUGCGGUCCAUUAGCUUGUUGGUAAGGUAACGGCUUACCAAGGCGACGAUGGAUAGCUGGUCUGAGAGGAUGAUCAGCCACACUGGAACUGAGACACGGUCCAGACUCCUACGGGAGGCAGCAGUGGGGAAUAUUGGGCAAUGGGCGAAAGCCUGACCCAGCUACGCCGCGUGAGUGAUAAGGCCUUCGGGUUGUAAAACUCUGUCGUGAGGGAGGAAUUUUGACGUUACCUCACAAGAUAGCACCGGCUAAAUCCG